AGUGAACGCUGGCGGUAGGCCUAACACAUGCAAGUCGAACGGCAGCACAGUAAGAGCUUGCUCUUACGGGUGGCGAGUGGCGGACGGGUGAGGAAUACAUCGGAAUCUACUUUUUCGUGGGGGAUAACGUAGUGAAACUUACGCUAAUACCGCAUACGACCUACGGGUGAAAGCAGGGGAUCUUCGCCCCUUGCGCGAUUGAAUGAGCCGAUGUCGGAUUAGCUAGUUGGCGGGGUAAAGGCCCACCAAGGCGACGAUCCGUAGCUGGUCUGAGAGGAUGAUCAGCCACACUGGAACUGAGACACGGUACAGAAUCAUACGGGAGGCAGCAGUGGGGAAUAGUGGACAAUGGGAGCAAGCCUGAUCCAGCAUACCGCGUGGGUGAAGAAGGCCUUCGGGUUGUAAAGCCCUUUUGUUGGGAAAGAAAAGCAGCAGGUUAAUACCCCGCUGUUCUGACGGUACCCAAAGAAUAAGCACCGGCUAACUUCGUG
rnacentral:rRNA from 1 species